rnacentral:tRNA from 1 species
GCCAGAGUGGCGAAAUUGGUAGACGCAGCGGAUUCAAAAUCCGCCAUCCUAACCGAUGUGUCGGUUCGAGUCCGACCUCUGGCACCA